rnacentral:rRNA from 1 species
GAUGAACGCUGGCGGCGUGCCUAAUACAUGCAAGUCGAGCGAAUGGAUUAAGAGCUUGCUCUUAUGAAGUUAGCGGCGGACGGGUGAGUAACACGUGGGUAACCUGCCCAUAAGACUGGGAUAACUCCGGGAAACCGGGGCUAAUACCGGAUAACAUUUUGAACCGCAUGGUUCGAAAUUGAAAGGCGGCUUCGGCUGUCACUUAUGGAUGGACCCGCGUCGCAUUAGCUAGUUGGUGAGGUAACGGCUCACCAAGGCAACGAUGCGUAGCCGAGCUGGGAGGGUGAUCGGCCACACUGGGGCUGAGACACGGCCCAGACUCCUACGGGAGGCAGCAGUAGGGAAUCGUCCGCAAUGGACGAAAGUCUGACGGAGCAACGCCGCGUGAGUGAUGAAGGCUUUCGGGUCGUAAAACUCUGUUGUUAGGGAAGAACAAGUGCUAGUUGAAUAAGCUGGCACCUUGACGGUACCUAACCAGAAAGCCACGGCUAACUACGUGCCAGCCGCCGCCGUAA